rnacentral:rRNA from 1 species
AACGAACGCUGGCGGCGUACUUAACACAUGCAAGUCGGACGAGAAAGGAAGCUUCGGCUUCUGAGUAAAGUGGCGUACGGGUGCGUAACACGUAAGUAAUCUACCUUGGACUCUGGGAUAACUCCCCGAAAGGGGGGCUAAGACUGGAUAGAGACCUGAGGUGCAAGCCUUGGGAAGGAAAACAGGCCUCUGUAUUAUGCUUGUGGUUCAGGAUGAGCUUGCGGCCCAUUAGCUAGUUGGNGGGUAAUGGCUCACCAAGGCAACGAUGGGUAGCUGGUCUGAGAGGACGAUCAGCCACACUGGCACUGAGAGUACGGGCCAGA